GAUGAACGCUGGCGGCGUGCCUAAUACAUGCAAGUCGAGCGAAUGGAUUAAGAGCUUGCUCUUAUGAAGUUAGCGGCGGACGGGUGAGUAACACGUGGGUAACCUGCCCAUAAGACUGGGAUAACUCCGGGAAACCGGGGCUAAUACCGGAUAACAUUUUGAACCGCAUGGUUCGAAAUUGAAAGGCGGCUUCGGCUGUCACUUAUGGAUGGACCCGCGUCGCAUUAGCUAGUUGGUGAGGUAACAGCUCACAAAGGCAACGAUGCGUAGCCGACCUGAGGGGGUAAUAGGCCACAAUGGGACUGAGACACGGCCCAGACUCCUACGGGAGGCAGCAGUAGGGAAUCUUCCGCAAUGGACGAAAGUCUGACGGAGCAACGCCGCGUGAGUGAUGAAGGCUUUCGGGUCGUAAAACUCUGUUGUUAGGGAAGAACAAGUGCUAGUUGAAUAAGCUGGCACCUUGACGGUACCUAACCAGAAAGCCACGGCUAACUACGUGCCAGCCGCCGCCGUAA
rnacentral:rRNA from 1 species